UAACCAAAACUAGACUGAUCUCACUACUGAGAGAACCUGAGAACCAUUCUGUUUUUCUUGGAAAAUGAAAGAUUGGGCUUUAUAUUUUACAGAAUGUACGCUGCCCUCUGGAAAAAUUUUUCUAGAUGAGGGGAAUAGAUGUUCAUAGUGACCCACAUAGUAUUAAAUGCUACGACAUUAUUUCUUGUGGUCAUGGAGGACGAAGCUUAGUGACUCACUUGGCCUUUUGCGGGUCCAUCUUCCCAGAGCAGAGCAAUUGGUGCUGAGCAGCAUGGAAAACAGCUACUGGAAGACAGAGCCCUUUGAGGUUUAAGGAUGUGACAAGUAGGAACAACACAAAAACAAUGUCUGACUCUACUGAUGAAAAGCAAAGCAUAAUAGAUGGUAA
rnacentral:lncRNA from 1 species